rnacentral:rRNA from 1 species
UGAUCCUGCCGGAGGUUACUGCUAUCGGAGUUCGAUUAAGCCAUGCGAGUCUAAAGGUUUCUUNGGAAACCUUGGCGGACUGCUCAGUAACACGUGGAUAACCUACCCUUGGGACUGGAAUAACCCCGGGAAACUGGGGAUAAUACCGGAUAGAUCAGGGAUGCUGGAAUGCACCUUGAUCCAAAGCUCCGGCGCCCAAGGAUGGGUCUGCGGCCUAUCAGGUAGUAGUGGGUGUAACGUACCUACUAGCCAACGACGGGUACGGGUUGUGAGAGCAAGAGCCCGGAGAUGGAUUCUGAGACACGAAUCCAGGCCCUACGGGGUGCAGCAGGCGCGAAACCUUUACAAUGUGCGAAAGCAUGAUAAGGGAACUCCGAGUGCCAGCAUCUAAUGUUGGCUGUCCUUGUGCCUAAAACGCACAAGAUAGCAAGGGCCGGGUAAGACCGGUGCCAGCCGCCGCGGUAACACCGGCGGCCCGAGUGGUAGCCGCUAUUAUUGGGUCUAAAGGGUCCGUAGCCGGUUCGAUAAGUCCUCUGGGAAAUCUGGUUGCUUAACAAUCAGACUGCCAAGGGAUACUGUCGAACUUGAGACCGGGAGAGGUAAGAGGUACUUCAGGGGUAGGAGUGAAAUCUUGUAAUCCCUGGGGGACCAUCUGUGGCGAAGGCGUCUUACCAGAACGGGUCUGACGGUGAGGGACGAAAGCUGGGGGCGCAAACCGGAUUAGAUACCCGGGUAGUCCCAGCCGUAAACGAUGCUCGCUAUGUGUCAGGUACGGUGUGACCGUAUCUGGUGCCGUAGGGAAGCCGUGAAGCGAGCCACCUGGGAAGUACGGCCGCAAGGCUGAAACUUAAAGGAAUUGGCGG